rnacentral:lncRNA from 10 species
AGGUGGCUUCCUCACCUGCAAAACAAAGGACUCUCCCUGCUGACUUAGUGCAUCCAGCCUGUGCUCCAGGAGAAUGGGCAGCAGAGUGAAGCCCUCCCUUUCUCUGAGUGUGCGUGUGAAACAAUCUUUGCAGCUACAGAGCCAUCCGAUGGUAUUGAUCCAGAUGUGGAAAUUGGUAUUGACUGCUGCUGCGGCUCUGUGCACUUCCCCGGCUUUUAAAGACACAGCAUAUAGGUGAUUUCACUUUGCACAUGACAAAGCUCUGGAGACAUUUGCUGAAACAAACUAAAUAAUACAAAUUAAAAAUCGGGUUUUAUAUCUUACUCCCUCACUUAAACGAAAUGAGAAGACAAAGAGCUUCCAAACGAUGACAUUAAAAAGGAAAGUGUGAUGCACCUUUCCAAGAAGAAAGAACAAUUUGUUUGCACGUUAAUUUCAUCCUGACCACUGGUAAAUGUCUAAGUACAGCCUCAAUGUUGUUAAAAUCCUUAGAGGACCUGAAAGCUUAAUGGCAAGUGUGGUCUGUGAGUCAGAGAUGUUGUAGUAGUUCUCUAUUGCUGCUCUAAAAAAUUAUCACAAACUUAGCGAAGUAAAACAACACAGAUUUACUGUCUUAUAGCUCUGUAGGCUGGAAGUCCAAUAUCAUUCUCACUGGAUGAAAAUUAAGGUGUUGGCAGUCUUUGUUCUUUCUGGAGUUUUUACGGGAAAAUCUGUUUUCUGCUCAGUUCAGAUUGGUGACAGAAUUCAGCUCUUUGUGGUUGGAGGACUGAGGUCUGAGCUUCAGGAGGCUGUGACACUCCUUGGCUUGUACCUCUUUUUCCAUCUUCAACGCCAGCUUCUGGCAUCUUUCUGGCCAACUCUUGUUUUCAUCAUUUUUAAGGACUCUUGUGACUAUGCUGGAUUGACCAGAAUAACACAGGAUAAUGUCCCCCAUCAAGGUUCUUCACCUUAAUCGGGUUUAAUAAUUCCCUGUUGCCAUGCAAAGUAACAUAUUCACAGGUCCUGGGCAUUGGAAUAUGGGCAUGCUUGGGAAAAAAGAGUUGGCAUUAUUCUGCCUACGGCAAAUGUCAUGGUUCUAUGCUACUUUCAACUCUGUUUCAGGACAGGCUAGCAGAGAUUUUUUUUUUCCUUAAAAACUAACACUUGAUUUUUAAUAAUAGACAGCAAUGUUAUUCAUGCAUUGUUUGUGAGCACUUCCACAAUGGAUGUACAUUCACACAAUGGAUAGAACCGUCGG